rnacentral:rRNA from 1 species
UGGGGAAUAUUGCACAAUGGGCGCAAGCCUGAUGCAGCCAUGCCGCGUGUGUGAAGAAGGCCUUCGGGUUGUAAAGCACUUUCAGCGGGGAGGAAGGCGAUAAGGUUAAUAACCUCAUCGAUUGACGUUACCCGCAGAAGAAGCACCGGCUAACUCCGUGCCAGCAGCCGCGGUAAUACGGAGGGUGCAAGCGUUAAUCGGAAUUACUGGGCGUAAAGCGCACGCAGGCGGUCUGUCAAGUCGGAUGUGAAAUCCCCGGGCUCAACCUGGGAACUGCAUUCGAAACUGGCAGGCUAGAGUCUUGUAGAGGGGGGUAGAAUUCCAGGUGUAGCGGUGAAAUGCGUAGAGAUCUGGAGGAAUACCGGUGGCGAAGGCGGCCCCCUGGACAAAGACUGACGCUCAUGUGCGAAAGCGUGGGGAGCAAACAGG